AUUCUACUCUGUAUUACAGCCAACCACAUUUCCAGGCUCCCUUGUCCUCUGCUAUCUAGGAGUAUGAUGGCCAAUGGAUCCAAAACCUAUCCUAUAUCUACAUGUUGGUGGCCACAUUAAUCUGACAUCUGACAGCAAGAGCGAUGAUUGGGUUCACUGGAAAUCUUUGUGAAGUACGAGUGAAGUCCUUGUGAAGUCAGAGUUUCCUCUUCAUGCCUCUACUCCUAUGCAGUUUGACCUCUCAGUGUGCAGCUGGUGAUAGAUGGAAACCCUUGUUCAUAAGCUUUGUGGCACUGUCGGCAGGAUGAGGGGACUUCUGGAUCCUCACUGGUCACUGUGGCAGAGUGGUUGGUGUUGUCUGCUCCCUAGACAGGAACCCACUGAAGAAUCUGACAUUUUUUGAUAUGCUGGCAUUCAUUGUUACAGCCCAUCAUCCCAGCCAUCAAUCCAGGACAUGGGGUCUGUGCCCACGGUGGGAAGGAGGAGGGGGAAGCUGGCUUUGUUCUGACGUUGGGCUUCUUCUGCUCCACCAGUACUUUCUGUGGGGGAAAUAGGUAAAGAAAUGGCUGUUCAGAUGAGAAGAUGUGUCAGUAAACUUUUGCUACAGUGAUGCUGCAAAACAAAUCACUGGUGACUUUCAGUGGCACACAGCAAUAAACAUUUAUUUAGCUCAGGGAUUGACAAUCUUUUUUUUUUUUUAAAGGGCCAAAUAGUAAAUAUUUUAGGUGUUUCAGGCCAUACAGUCUCUGAACUCUGAACUUGUAGCACAACAGUAGCCUUAGAUGCUAUGCAAAUGGAGGAGCAUGACUGUGUUCCAAUAAAACUUUAUUUAUGGACACUAAAAUUGGAAUUUCAUGGAAUUUUUAUAUGUUAAGAAAUAUUAUACUUUGAUUUUUUUCAACCACGAAGUUGAAUGGUCUGUGAGUU
rnacentral:lncRNA from 1 species